UCCGAAUUGGUGUAGUGGUUAACAUUCAGGAUUCUCAUGUGUUACGCUGUGAUCUCCUGGGCCCAGGGUUCGAUUCCCUGAUUCGGAG